rnacentral:tRNA from 2 species
GUUCUCGUCGUCUAGUGGUAGGACAUUGCUUUUUCAGAGCAAGAACACGGGUUCGAUUCCCGUCGAGAACA